UACGAAAGGUGCAAGCGUUACUCGGAAUCACUGGGCGUAAAGCGCACGUAGGCGGCUUCUUAAGUCAGGGGUGAAAUCCUGGAGCUCAACUCCAGAACUGCCUUUGAUACUGAGGAGCUUGAGUCCGGGAGAGGUGAGUGGAACUGCGAGUGUAGAGGUGAAAUUCGUAGAUAUUCGCAAGAACACCAGUGGCGAAGGCGGCUCACUGGCCCGGUACUGACGCUGAGGUGCGAAAGCGUGGGGAGCAAACAGG
rnacentral:rRNA from 1 species